GGUGGAGUAUUCGAGUUCAGGCGGGAAAAACGAAUACGUGAUGACGCAACACGUUGAAUUAAUUGUUUUUGUUUAUGCUAUGGCGCCCAACAAAAUAAAACACGUCUCGUGUACAUCACAGCGCACACCAGAAAAGAUGACAUCCGUGAUGGAGUGGCUUUCCAGCCAAGCUGUCCAAAACAUGCACUCUGUAAUCCCUUUCAGGAAUGUCUCCUCAAAAAGCCCAGAGGAAUGCUGGGAUCCCCCUGCAGUACUACAUCCAGCACAACACCUCCAAGAGAAGAUAAUGUGAAAACCCCAACAGGCAAGUUGUUGACUUCCAGUCACCAAACAAAGACUCCUAAGGAACAGAGAUUUUAUUUGAAGGAUAGAUAAACUGGGUUCUGCAGAGUUUUUUCAUUCUGACCACAAAAAAGCGCAUUUGACUUUUUAAACCUAAAUUACUCAGUUUAUAUAUUUGAUAUUAUUAUUUAAUUUCAAUAGUUAUAUUGUGAAAUAUUAUAAUCUAAAAUAACAGUUUUCUAGUUUAAUGUAUUCUAAAAUGUCCUUUUUUUUAUUUAAUGGCAAAGCUGACUAUUCAGCAUCAUUA